UACGUAGGAGGCAAGCGUUGUCCGGAAUUACUGGGCGUAAAGCGCGUGUAGGUGGUGGGACAAGUCUGCUGUGAAAGCGCCUGGCUUAACCGGGCGAGGUCGGCGGAAACUGUCCGACUCGAGGACGGUAGAGGGGGGUGGAAUUCCCGGUGUAGUGGUGAAAUGCGUAGAGAUCGGGAGGAACACCUGUGGCGAAGGCGGCCCCCUGGGCCGGCCCUGACACUGAGACACGAAGGCGUGGGGAGCGAACGGG
rnacentral:rRNA from 1 species